rnacentral:rRNA from 1 species
GUGUCAGCCGCCGCGGUAAGACGAAGGGGGCUAGCGUUGUUCGGAAUUACUGGGCGUAAAGCGCACGUAGGCGGCCCUUCAAGUCAGAUGUGAAAGCCCCGGGCUUAACCCGGGAACUGCAUUUGAUACUGUUGGGCUAGAGACCGGGAGAGGAUAGCGGAAUUCCCAGUGUAGAGGUGAAAUUCGUAGAUAUUGGGAAGAACACCAGUGGCGAAGGCGGCUAUCUGGACCGGUACUGACGCUGAGGUGCGAAAGCGUGGGGAGCAAACAGGAUUAGAAACCCUAGUAGUCC